rnacentral:lncRNA from 1 species
UGCUUGCUAGAAUAUUUUCUUGAAGUGCAAAUUAGACUGUGUAUAUGUAAAAUGUUCAACAUAGUAUAUAUUGAGUAAAAUAUUGAUUUUGCAUUUUUCCCAUUCUUCCUAUAGGAAGCAACUGUCUAUUUCUUAAAGGUCACUGGAAGAAGAGAAUAGUGACUUCACACUUAUCAAGGCAUCUAGCUCUAAGUCUAAUCCAGUCAUUCCUUAAAGUCUGCAUAGAUCCUACAUGGAGAGUGCUAAACCAAGUCUGUCUUAAGCAUGGCAAAAAGGAAAGACCAUUUCAUGUUGCAAACCAGCAAACGUUUUAGCAAACAAAGGGGAAAACUGAAUGUCAGAAAGGGAAUACAAAUCUUCUUGUUUAGUAAUUCUUUUUUACCAACAGCGUGGUUUUAUCUUGAGACUCUCAUUCAGUGUCACAUAGCUUGCUAUGUUGUUGUCCCAAGUACAAGUUCAAAAACCGAAACAGAACCAAUACAAAGGAAACACUAGAAGAGUACAAUAGACCUUCUGUUUUCGUCUAUACUUCAUCACUGUCUUAACGGUCUCCCCCCAAGAUCGAAGAGGGCAGAAAUGUGACAAUUUUCGAAGAAAUAUCUCAGCCUUCUCUUACUCUCACUUAUAAGUGCAGAGUCCCUUUCCUGUCUUUUUCCUGGGUUGCUAUGCUUUCUUGUAUUGUGCUAGAAACUCUCACCUCUCUGAUCCUUCUCAAAUCCAAAGCAAGCAAGGAAAAUAGAAGACGGAGAAAGAGAUUAAAAGGAGGAAUGGACAUUAGACAAAAAAAUAAAAUAACUGAAAACAGCC